rnacentral:rRNA from 1 species
AUUGAACGCUGGCGGCAGGCCUAACACAUGCAAGUCGAGCGGCAGCGGGAAAGUAGCUUGCUACUUUUGCCGGCGAGCGGCGGACGGGUGAGUAAUGCCUGGGGAUCUGCCCAGUCGAGGGGGAUAACUACUGGAAACGGUAGCUAAUACCGCAUACGCCCUACGGGGGAAAGCAGGGGACCUUCGGGCCUUGCGCGAUUGGAUGAACCCAGGUGGGAUUAGCUCGUUGGUGAGGUAAUGGCUGACCAAGGCGACGAUCCCUAGCUGGUCUGUGAGGCUGAGCAGCCACACGGGAACAAGGACACGGUCCAGACUCGUACGGGAGGCAGCAGUGGGGAAUAAUGCACAAUGGGGGAAACCCUGAUGCAGCCAUGCCGCGUGUGUGAAGAAGGCCUUCGGGUUGUAUAGCACUUUCAGCGAGGAGGAAAGGUUGGUAGCUAAUAACUGCCAGCUGUGACGUUACUCGCAGAAGAAGCACCGGCUAACUCCGUGCCAGCCGCCGCCGUAA